AUUGAACGCUGGCGGCAGGCCUAACACAUGCAAGUCGAACGGCAGCACAGAAGAGCUUGCUCUUUGGGUGGCGAGUGGCGGACGGGUGAGUAAUGUCUGGGAAACUGCCCGAUGGAGGGGGAUAACUACUGGAAACGGUAGCUAAUACCGCAUAACGUCGCGAGACCAAAGUGGGGGACCUUCGGGCCUUACACCAUCGGAUGUACCCAGAUGGGAUUAGCUAGUAGGUGGGGUAAUGGCUCACCUAGGCGACGAUCCCUAGCUGGUCUGAGAGGAUGACCAGCCACACUGGAACUGAGACACGGUCCAGACUCCUACGGGAGGCAGCAGUGGGGAAUAUUGCACAAUGGGCGCAAGCCUGAUGCAGCCAUGCCGCGUGUAUGAAGAAGGCCUUCGGGUUGUAAAGUACUUUCAGCGGGGAGGAAGGCGGUGAGGUUAAUAACCUCGCCGAUUGACGUUACCCGCAGAAGAAGCACCGGCUAACUCCGUGCCAGCAGCCGCGGUAA
rnacentral:rRNA from 1 species